AACAGGAUUAGAUACCCUGGUAGUCCACGCUGUAAACGAUGUCGAUUUGGAGGUUGUGCCCUUGAGGCGUGGCUUCCGGAGCUAACGCGUUAAAUCGACCGCCUGGGGAGUACGGCCGCAAGGUUAAAACUCAAAUGAAUUGACGGGGGCCCGCACAAGCGGUGGAGCAUGUGGUUUAAUUCGAUGCAACGCGAAGAACCUUACCUACUCUUGACAUCCAGAGAACUUAGCAGAGAUGCUUUGGUGCCUUCGGGAACUCUGAGACAGGUGCUGCAUGGCUGUCGUCAGCUCGUGUUGUGAAAUGUUGGGUUAAGUCCCGCAACGAGCGCAACCCUUAUCCUUUGUUGCCAGCGGUUCGGCCGGGAACUCAAAGGAGACUGCCAGUGAUAAACUGGAGGAAGGUGGGGAUGACGUCAAGUCAUCAUGGCCCUUACGAGUAGGGCUACACACGUGCUACAAUGGCGUAUACAAAGAGAAGCGACCUCGCGAGAGCAAGCGGACCUCAUAAAGUACGUCGUAGUCCGGAUUGGAGUCUGCAACUCGACUCCAUGAAGUCGGAAUCGCUAGUAAUCGUAGAUCAGAAUGCUACGGUGAAUACGUUCCCGGGCCUUGUACACACCGCCCGUCACACCAUGGGAGUGGGUUGCAAAAGAAGUAGGUAGCUUAACCUUCGGGAGGGCGCUUACCACUUUGUGACUCAUGACUGGGGUGAAGUCGUAACAAGGUAACC
rnacentral:rRNA from 1 species